rnacentral:lncRNA from 1 species
CUUUUCCUAAUAGAGUGAUUUAAGCCUUCAUUUUUAGACAUCUAAGCCCUUGGUGAUCAUCAGCAUAAAAUGUGACAAAUUAAACAAAAGCAAGACAGCACAUCAGAGAACAACUCUGAGGUGGAAUGAUUGGGAACCAAUGAAUAGUUGUUCAGUAAAUGGUUUAUAUUUUACAGAUGAUGAAACUGAAACACAAAAAAUUUAGAUUAACUCUUAGGUGACAAAGCCAGGAUUGAAGCUCAUGCGGUCUGGCUCCAGAACAACUCUUCUUCAUAGUUACGUUAUACUGCCCCUGCAUUGUUGGUAUUGAAAAGAUAUCCUUUGUGGGCC